GGUUAGCCUUUUUUUCUAGGUCUAUACCCGAACUCAUAUCGAACUCGAGAGUCCUUAUCUAGAAAGCCACACAUACUAAUUAUUAUUGGGAACCAUGGCUUUGUAAAGUAUUACAAUAAUCUUAGGGUU
rnacentral:rRNA from 1 species